rnacentral:lncRNA from 1 species
GAAGUUCCACCACUGUGUCGGAAAUUCCAACAGGCGUUCUCUGUCCAGUUGGGGUGUCCCUGUCGGAAGUUACGACACUGUGUUGGAAGUUCCGACAGGUACAUUACCAGCACAGUAAUGGCUAGUUUUUGGGGGCUGGGUAUAAAUACCCCUCUACCCCCUCCUUCAUUUGCUACUGACCUAACUCGAGACAAACACUCCCAAGCAUUGAUUCCUCACUUCCUC